GCGUACGGCCAUACCACCCUGAACGAGCCCGAUCUUGUCUGAUCUCAGAAGCUAAGCAGGGUUGGGCCUGGUUAGUACUCAGAUGGGAGAUCGCCCGGAAACACUGGAUGCUGUAUGCU
rnacentral:rRNA from 1 species